CGAUAUGUUUUCAAAUGUACAUUUUAAAAUAUUGGAAAGCUAAUUUAAACACUUGUGUGGUUAAAUUGGCAUUUUGAACUGUAAAAUCUACAUUGAAGCAUGUCGGACACUUGUUUCAACUAAAAAAUUGUUAAAUCAGCAAUUUUAUUUUUUCCAUGCUCAUAAAUUUGAAAUCGCCAUUCUUUUUCAUCGAUCACGGUCCCUGACCACAAUUGGACGUAUUUGUAUGCGAAAAGGAGAUAUGUGGAAGUGGAAAGAUGGGGUGUGCUCGUUAGUUGGGUCAUAAGAAACAAAUGUAAAAGUGGAUAUAGUUCCUAUUGAGAAAAUUGAAAAGCGGGAUUUGACAUUAAAUCAAAAGGAGCUAAGCGCCAAAAUAUGCUAACUCAUGAGCCGUGGGCAUGCGGCAAGAGCCUUGUGGACAGGGCUCAUGAGUUAAAUUGCCCCGACGGCGACGUUCUGCUCGACGUCGUCGUCGAGCCCGGUCGUCACCGCUGACGUCACUGGCGCUUUAUAUUCCCCAUUCAUUCUUAUGGCCCGACCACUAACGAGCACACCCCAUCUUUCCACUUCCACAUAUCUCCUUUUCGCAUAAAUACGUCCAAUUUCACUUUCGGCUUACAGGUUGCUGCACUGCGAGUUCUCGUCUCCAGAUUUGGGCGAGUUCGGCGUCUACGACGUCCUGGUGACCGAGGACAGAUGUCACGUCCACACGGCCAAGACCCCCCGUCAACAUUUACGCACCAUUGAUACUAGCUGUACUCGCAAUUUUAGCGCUUUUGACGGGGUACAUUAUUUUGGAAAACUUCUUGGAAUCACGGAAAAAAGUCAUCGAUGAGGACGAUCCUGACUAUGAAAAAAGCCCGAAGAGAAGAGUGAACUGUGUUGACACGUUUCGAGGGUUUGCGAUCAUCUUGAUGAUUUUCAUAAACGACGGAGGGGCUAGUUACGUGUUUUUAGAGCACGCGACCUGGGAUGGCAUUCAUCUUGCGGACUUCAUUUUUCCAUGGUAUUUCCCAAAAUUUGAUAAUCAGCAUCUAAGCGAUAUGGACAAAUUAUAUAUCAAUUUUGCACCAUUUAGUCACCAGUAGUGUCCCGGAAAUCGGCAUUGAUAAA
rnacentral:lncRNA from 1 species